UGGGGAAUUUUGGACAAUGGGCGAAAGCCUGAUCCAGCAAUGCCGCGUGUGUGAAGAAGGCCUUCGGGUUGUAAACACUUUUGUCCGGAAAGAAAUCCUUGGCUCUAAUACAGUCGGGGGAUGACGGUACCGGAAGAAUAAGCACCGGCUAACUACGUGCCAGCAGCCGCGGUAAUACGUAGGGUGCAAGCGUUAAUCGGAAUUACUGGGCGUAAAGCGUGCGCAGGCGGUUUGCUAAGACCGAUGUGAAAUCCCCGGGCUCAACCUGGGAACUGCAUUGGUGACUGGCAGGCUAGAGUAUGGCAGAGGGGGGUAGAAUUCCACGUGUAGCAGUGAAAUGCGUAGAGAUGUGGAGGAAUACCGAUGGCGAAGGCAGCCCCCUGGGCCAAUACUGACGCUCAUGCACGAAAGCGUGGGGAGCAAACAGGAUUAGAUACCCUGGUAGUCCACGCCCUAAACGAUGUCAACUAGUUGUUGGGGAUUCAUUUCCUUAGUAACGUAGCUAACGCGUGAAGUUGACCGCCUGGGGAGUACGGUCGCAAGAUUAAAACUCAAAUGAAUUGACGGGGUCAUAGCUGUUUCCU
rnacentral:rRNA from 1 species